rnacentral:rRNA from 1 species
UACGUAGGGUGCGAGCGUUGUCCGGAAUUACUGGGCGUGAAGAGCUCGUAGGUGGUUUGUCGCGUUGUUCGUGAAAACUCACAACUCAAUUGUGGGCGUGCGGGCGAUACGGGCAGACUGGAGUACUGCAGGGGAGACUGGAAUUCCUGGUGUAGCGGUGGAAUGCGCAGAUAUCAGGAGGAACACCGGUGGCGAAGGCGGGUCUCUGGGCAGUAACUGACGCUGAGGAGCGAAAGCGUGGGGAGCGAACAGG